CAGCUCUUCAUUCGUACUUUACUGUCUCUGCUCUAGAAAACCUCGAAAUUUCUGGAUCAUUCGAGGGUAAGGAAUUCCUCAACAAGCUCGC
rnacentral:sRNA from 1 species